rnacentral:rRNA from 1 species
GAUGGGCUCGCGGGACAUUAGCUUGUUGGAGUGGUUACGGCACACCAAGGCGACGAUGUCUAGGGGUUCUGAGAGGAAGGUCCCCCACAUUGGAACUGAGACACGGUCCAAACUCCUACGGGAGGCAGCAGUGAGGAAUAUUGGUCAAUGGACGGAAGUCUGAACCAGCCAUGCCGCGUGGAGGAGGACGGCCCUAUAGAUUGUAAACUCCUUUUGCCGGAGAGUAAUAAGGGUCCUGCGGGGUCCGAUGAGAGUAUCUGGCGAAUAAGCAUCGGCUAACUCCGUGCCAGCAGCCGCGGUAAUACGGAGGAUGCAAGCGUUAUCCGGAUUUAUUGGGUUUAAAGGGUGCGUAGGCGGACGCGUAAGUCAGCGGUGAAAUAUCCCGGCCCAACCGGGAGGCUGCCGUUGAUACUGCGCGACUGGAGUCCAAACGGCGCCGGCGGAAUAUGCAAUGUAGCGGUGAAAUGCUUAGAUAUUGCAUAGAACACCGAUCGCGAAGGCAGCUGGCGAGGAUGGCACUGACGCUGAGGCACGAAGGCGUGGGGAUCAAACAGGAUUAGAUACCCUGGUAGUCCACGCAGUAAACGAUGACAACUUGUUGUCGGCGAUAGACAGUCGGGUGACAAAGCGAAAGCGAUAAGUUGUCCACCUGGGGAGUACGAUCGCAAGGUUGAAACUCAAAGGAAUUGACGGGGGCCCGCACAAGCGGAGGAGCAUGUGGUUUAAUUCGAUGAUACGCGAGGAACCUUACCCAGACUCAAAUGGGAGCCGACCGGUGCAGAGAUGCGCCCUUCCUUCGGGACGGCUUUCAAGGUGCUGCAUGGUUGUCGUCAGCUCGUGCCGUGAGGUGUCAGGUUAAGUCCUAUAACGAGCGCAACCCCUACGUCCAGUUGCCAGCGGGUGAAGCCGGGGACUCUGGAGGGACUGCCGGCGCAAGCCGAGAGGAAGGUGGGGAUGACGUCAAAUCAGCACGGCCCUUACGUCUGGGGCGACACACGUGCUACAAUGGCCGGUACAGAGGGCAGCUACGCCGCGAGGCGAUGCGAAUCUCGAAAGCCGGUCUCAGUUCGGAUCGGAGUCUGCAACCCGACUCCGUGAAGUUGGAUUCGCUAGUAAUCGCGCAUCAGCCAUGGCGCGGUGAAUACGUUCGCGGGCCUUGCACUCACCGCCCGUCAAG